rnacentral:rRNA from 1 species
CGCGGCCUAUCAGCUUGUUGGUGAGGUAACGGCUCACCAAGGCAACGACGGGUAGCUGGUCUGAGAGGACGAUCAGCCACACUGGGACUGAGACACGGCCCAGACUCCUACGGGAGGCAGCAGCAGGGAAUAUUGCACAAUGGGCGAAAGCCUGAUGCAGCGACGCCGCGUGGGGGAUGAAUGCCUUCAGGUUGUAAACCCCUUUCAGGAGGGACGAAGCGAAAGUGACGGUACCUCCAGAAGAAGCCCCGGCCAACUACGUGCCAGCAGCCGCGGUAAUACGUAGGGGGCGAGCGUUGUCCGGAUUUAUUGGGCGUAAAGAGCUCGUAGGCGGCUCAACAAGUCGGCCGUGAAAGCCCGAGGCUCAACCUCGGGAUGCCGGUCGGAACUGUUGUGGCUAGGGUCCGGUAGAGGAGAGUGGAAUUCCCGGUGUAGCGGUGAAAUGCGCAGAUAUCGGGAGGAACACCAGUAGCGAAGGCGGCUCUCUGGGCCGGCACCGACGCUGAGGAGCGAAAGCUAGGGGAGCAAACAGGAUUAGAUACCCUGGUAGUCCUAGCCGUAAACGUUGGGUACUAGGUGUGGCGGAUUCAUUGACAUCUGCCGUGCCGAAGCUAACGCAUUAAGUACCCCGCCUGGGGAGUACGG